UACGGAGGGUGCAAGCGUUAUCCGGAUUCACUGGGUUUAAAGGGUGCGUAGGUGGGCUAGUAAGUCCGUGGUGAAAUCUCCAAGCUUAACUUGGAAACUGCCGUGGAUACUAUUAGUCUUGAAUAUUGUGGAGGUAAGCGGAAUAUGUCAUGUAGCGGUGAAAUGCUUAGAUAUGACAGAGAACACCGAUAGCGAAGGCAGCUUGCUACACAAUCAUUGACACGGAGGCACGAAAGCGUGGGGAUCAAACAGG
rnacentral:rRNA from 1 species